AAACAUCGUGCGUCAGGUCUGUGCGAGCUAGCAGCGGCCAAAGGGCAGCUCGCCGCAUCAUAUUCGAUUUCGUGUUGUUGCACAAUAUUCACCGUAUCUCGCGAACUAGAAGCCAAAGCUUUGCCAGUUGUCAGUUGAUUCUCGUUGCGUUACAAGGAAAUUUUUAGCGCGAUCUACCACGUUAAAAAUCUUUUAUAAAAGAAUAUUUCGAAGCUCCCUCCCCAGUGAGUUUCAAGAACCAACCACCCGGUGGAGCGUUAAGCGCCACGAUUUCCAUCUCGUCUGUGUCGUUUUUUCGUGCCAACAAUAACGUUAUUGGCACAGUAUUAUACCAUUCGUUGCCUGUUAUUUAAAACAGUAAAAUGAAUGUUCACGAUCGACUUGAAGAUUACGUUAGUGAAUUCGUUCGAACUCGUUUCGAUUUAAAUUUCAAUCGUUAGAAUUUCGCUAAAUUGUCCUUGAAUUUUUUUAUAUAGUUAUGAUCAAUAAAAUAGCACGGGCAAGAUCAAAUAAAAUUUUGUCCGUUUUGUUUAUCGACGGGAAUAAUAGAUAAUGUGAUGAUAGUGUUGUUGUUCUUGUUGUUGUUGUUGUUGUUGUUGUUGUUGUUCACAGUGUUAAUGAUGACGUAAAAAUGAUGAAUUGUGUGAAACGCGAUAAAGACACGUCGCUAGUCAAUAUCAUCUCUCAAUUUUAGCACGAGAUUGCAGCACGAGGUUGACCACGAAAGUAGAAACCGUGUUGCGUGGUUUUGGCCAAGGCAAUCAUCGGUUUCCUCGUGUUCCAUCGGCUUGCAUUUCGAUGCAGUAUUUUUUCUUUUUUUUUUCUCUAAUAGCUAACGAGGUUACGAUGUCAAAGUAUAAAAGAAACGCGUUUACUUAAAUUGUUUUUUUUUUUUUUUUGUUUUCUAAUUAUGACGACGAACUUUUUUACCGUUUUAUACGAAAGCUUUUCAUUUAAUUUACUAUAUUAUUACUAUGUAUAGUUAGCCAAGAAGCCUUAAAUAAACAAUAAAGAUCUCGAUAUGCAUGAAAAUGUACGAUUAUUAUUAUUCAUAGUCAAUGGUUAUUUUCAGUUUUCUCGUUGGAAUUUUCUUAUCUAUACCCGUUAAAUAUCGCAUAAUGGUGUUUCGGUGAACAACACGAAUUGGCACGAAAAACCAAGUAUAGUUUAUUAUAAUCACGAGUUUUCGUAUUUUGAUGAACGUCAUCGGUUAUUUUCGUAUUACGUUGGAAACGAUUACGUUAAAUUAGAAUGUAACAUGUGCUUUACAAAUGAAACAUUUUUUGUUUCAAAAAACACGUAAUUAUAUUUCUUCGUUGCUUAACAUCUUAAUCAAAAUGAUAAUUUAUCUUACCAAUUGGUAUUUCAAUACCAAUGCAGGAUAAAUUUCCAUUCACUACGAUAUGAAUUUCGAUUAUCGAUUUAUUUACUUCGAAUUUGAUUUCCUCAUAUCCACUGGAAUUUAUUCUUUGGAUUAAUUCUUUCUAGAAAUAAAAUAAAUAUAUUUGAGAAACAAUGAUUUAUUAAUUGAUUAAUCCUAAUUAAUUUCAAAUUAAUGCAAUCUCAAGAUAAAAUUUUAAGUUGUGCUGAUCUUAAAAUAAUUUCUAGUUGUGCCCUUGAGAUGCGCCACAGCCCCGGUCACUUUGAUGAAAAACUGUCCAUUUAUACAAAAUGAACAAUUUUGACUCGAAAAACAAAAUACAUUAUAUUCAUUGAAGGAAAUCAUAUCAAUAAUAAUUAGUAAGGUUUGAAAACUCAUUUACAAUUCUAUCAUUAUAACAAAAAAAAUUCAUGAAUCAUGCAAUGAGCAAAUUAUUUUAAUCGAGCUUAAAGUUGAUCUGGAGUGUCCUACAAACCCCGCAAAUACAACUAGAGUUGAUACAAUUUACAAACUUACAUCGGGGGUAAAAUCCGCAUCGUCGUUAUAGUUAUCGAUUAUUACUGGAUUAAAAAACCUCUCUCGAUAAUUAGAUGUUUCAUUGUUCUUCAUGUCGUCGCAAUGGAGGUCAAGCUUUGCUCAUUUCACUUAAUCUUAGAAAAUUUUCUACAAUUUUAAAAAGGAAAUAUUAAAAAA